GACGAACGCUGGCGGCGUGCUUAACACAUGCAAGUCGAGCGGAAAGGCCCUGCUUUCGUGGGGUGUCCGCGUGGCGAACGGGUGAGUAACAUGUGAGUAUCCUGCCCUUGACUUUGUGAUAUCUUCAGGAAACUGCGGCUACUACCGGAUAGGAGCUCCUGCUGCAUGGUGGGGGUCGGAAAGUUUAGGCUGGUGGGGAUAGACUCGCGGCUUAUCAGCUUGUUGGGGGGGUAGUGGCUUAGCAAGGCUUCGACGGAUAGCCGGCAUGAGAGCUUGGACAGGGACAAUGGGACUGAGAGACGGACCAGACGGGUACGGGAGGCAGUAGGGGAGAAUAUUGCACAGUGGGGGGGAGCCUGAGACAGCAGCCCCGCGUGCGGGAUGACGGCCUUCGGGGUGUGAACCGCUUUAACCUGUGACCUAGCGGGAGUGACGGUAAUGAGUAAAGAAGCACCGGCUAACUACGUG
rnacentral:rRNA from 1 species